GGCCUGGUAGCCAAGUAGCUAAGGCACUUCUCUGCAAAAGAAGUAUACGCGAGUGCAAUUCUCGCCCAGGCCU
rnacentral:tRNA from 1 species